rnacentral:sRNA from 1 species
UUGACAGUCCUGGAGACUGAAGUCGUCUUUUUAUGCACAGAACACUAACACCAACUGCAGCAGAAGUCCAAACUUAUGCUUGAAAGAAGCCCUGCCAAUAUAUUUCCCCUCUAACCCGAGAGCCACACCUUAAGGUACGAGUGGGAAAAAUCAGUCCCUAUUACCAAGGUAAACCAUGGCCUUG